rnacentral:rRNA from 1 species
UACACUCCUGCGGGAGGCAGCAGUGGGGAAUAUUGGACAAUGGGCGCAAGCCUGAUCCAGCCAUGCCGCGUGAGUGAUGAAGGCCCUAGGGUUGUAAAGCUCUUUCACCGGUGAAGAUAAUGACGGUAACCGGAGAAGAAGCCCCGGCUAACUUCGUGCCAGCAGCCGCGGUAAUACGAAGGGGGCUAGCGUUGUUCGGAUUUACUGGGCGUAAAGCGCACGUAGGCGGACUAUUAAGUCAGGGGUGAAAUCCCGGGGCUCAACCCCGGAACUGCCUUUGAUACUGGUAGUCUUGAGUUCGAGAGAGGUGAGUGGAAUUCCGAGUGUAGAGGUGAAAUUCGUAGAUAUUCGGAGGAACACCAGUGGCGAAGGCGGCUCACUGGCUCGAUACUGACGCUGAGGUGCGAAAGCGUGGGGAGCAAACAGGAUUAGAAACCCCGGUAGUCCCAUGAU